rnacentral:rRNA from 1 species
AGUGAACGCUGGCGGUAGGCCUAACACAUGCAAGUCGAACGGCAGCACAGUAAGAGCUUGCUCUUACGGGUGGCGAGUGGCGGACGGGUGCGGAAUACAUCGGAAUCUACUUUUUCGUGGGGGAUAACGUAGGGAAACUUACGCUAAUACCGCAUACGACCUACGGGUGAAAGCCGGGGAUCUUCGGACCUUUCGCGAUUGAAUGAGCCGAUGUCGGAUUAGCUAGUUGGCGGUGUAAAGGCCCACCAAGGCGACGAUCCGUAGCUGGUCUGAGAGGAUGAUCAGCCACACUGGAACUGAGACACGGUCCAGACUCCUACGGGAGGCAGCAGUGGGGAAUAUUGGACAAUGGGCGCAAGCCUGAUCCAGCCAUACCGCGUGGGUGAAGAAGGCCUUCGGGUUGUAAAGCCCUUUUGUUGGGAAAGAAAAGCAGCAGGUUAAUACCCCGCUGUUCUGACGGUACCCAAAGAAUAAGCACCGGCUAACUUCGUG